rnacentral:rRNA from 1 species
UGUAGUCAUAUGCUUGUCUCAAAGAUUAAGCCAUGCAUGUCUAAGUAUAAGCAAUUAUACAGCGAAACUGCGAAUGGCUCAUUACACAAGUUAUCGUUUAUUUGAUAGCACCUUCUUACUCGGAUACCUGUGGUAAUUCUAGAGCUAAUACGUGCUGAAAUGCUCAACUUCGGAAGAGCUGUAUUUAUUAGAUUCAAAGCCAAUGCCCUUCGGGGCUUUACGGUGAUUCAUGAUAACUUCUCGAAUCGCACGGCCUUGCGCCGGCGAUGGUUCAUUCAAAUUUCUUCCCUAUCAACUUUCGAUGCGAGGGUCUUGUCCUCGCAUGGUUUCAACGGGUAACGGGGAAUGGGGCGGGGGGGACGGGCUAAGCGCGGCCAAGAACCAAACG